rnacentral:rRNA from 1 species
GACGAACCGUGCGAACGUUAUUCGGAAUCACUGGGCUUAAAGCGCGUGUAGGCGGGGUGGCACGUCGGUCGCUGAAAGCCCCCGGCUCAACCGGGGAAGGGGCGCCGAUACGACCACCCUCGAGGGACGUAGGGGGACCUGGAACUUCCGGUGGAGCGGUGAAAUGCGUUGAGAUGUGGAGGAACACCAAUGGCGAAGGCAGCCUUCUGGGCCAACACUGACGCUCAUGCACGAAAGCGUGGGGAGCAAACAGG